rnacentral:rRNA from 1 species
GACGAACGCUGGCGGCGCGCUUAACACAUGCAAGUCGAGCGAAGCGGCGGACGGGUGAGUAACACGUGAGUAACCUGCCUUUUACACAGGGAUAGCCUCGGGAAACCGGGAUUAAAACCUGAUGGUAAAAGAUGGACUCGCGUCCAAUUAGCUAGUUGGUGAGGUAACGGGCCACCAAGGCAACGAUGGGUAGCCUGGCAGAGAGGCUGAACGGACACAUUGGAACUGAGAAACGGUCCAAACUCUACGGGAGGCAGCAGUGGGGAAUAUUGCACAAUGGGGGAAACCCUGAUGCAGCGACGCUGGGUGAGCGAAGAAGGCCUUCUGGUCGUAAAGCUCUUUUAUAUGUGUAGCGGUACCAGAAGAAAAAGCCCCGGCUAACUACGUGCCAGCAGCCGCGGUAAUAC